AAACUUGAGAAGGGAAAAAAGCAGCAAUUCGGAAGACGGAGUACUGUUUCCAAGAAUUAAGAGGAACACAAUGUUCCAUGAAGGGGUCAAGUUUCAGCGGAACAAAACGGAACAGAUUGAAGUGGGUUCAUUCAUGGAAAAGGUAUGCACGUUGAUGUAUCUGCCGUUGAUGAUCUAAAAUGAUAAAGCCAAUAUCCGGAUAUUUCCCAAGACCAUCCGAACAACCGAAACUCCCGCCACACUCGGUUUGGAGCCAAUGCGUUCGCCAAUUUUCUCCUUGAAUGCUUGCUCCCUUGUUGCCUCCAAUAUGAAUGGCGAAUCCCAGUGAAAGUGAUUCUGGAUGCUUGGAUUGCAAGUGCCGGUGACCGAGAAAUGAAAAAUGUUCAGCGGUAACACAUCAAUAUCCCGGAACCUUGAAGCUUUCGUCAAGAUCGUAAGUGGCCCUUGACGUGCCUGAUUAGUUUUGAAUGUUACGUGGACAGGUCUGACACGUUCCUGAAGAGGCCGAUUUUCUUGCCGAAAUACACUCCAUUCGGCAUCAUCCCAUCAUCAUCUUGUAGUUUUAAGAGCAUCACUGGAGAUGGACACAGUCUUGAACUCAUCCAUGUGUCAAAAAGAAAAGGGAAACGCGAUAAAGAAGCUCCUCACAGUUCCUGAUUAAAAGCGAAUCGUAUCUGAACCCUUAUUUCAAGCUUCUAAAAACUACGCUCACUGCCUUCGACAGAACAAAUGUUUUCCGUAAAACUCCAUCCAACUAUCUAUAAUUCGCUACCGAUAGCAGUUUCUGUGAUUGACGUGGCAGGACGACGAUCUGUAUAUCAAUACUAAAGAGAGCUCGCUCGAACCUCGAAGGACUAGAUGUCCUAGAUGCCCUAAACAUUUUUCCCCCUGACAUUGCCUUGUCCAGAUUUUUAGUUCCCCCCAAAAGAUAACACAUGCCAAUGUUUGUUUCAUUACAAGUGAUUUAUUUAAACCAAGGUAAAUAAUUCUAAAAAAGCUCAAAAAUAUGUCAAUGUCCAAAUAAACUAAAUAGCCAUUAUCUGUGCCCAUUUCAUGAAAGAUUUUGUAUCAUGAAACAUGAGAACCAACUGAGUACACUGAAUGAGAAUCUAAGGAAAACCAUAAUCAUCAACUGACCUUCAUUUGGCUCCGUACCAGCAACUUUCAUACCUUGCCUUGCACAUCCCUUCUCCAUUUUUGCUCAAGCUCCGAGAAAAUGGGCAUUUUUCCAUUUGCUCUUGGUAUUUUCCAAGGUAAAAGAUGUCAGCUUAAUGAGCCAAUGUUAAGUCCUGCUUGUUUAGUUUCUACCAAGAGUUGAAACGGAUAUCGCUCUCCUCUCAAGGGCCUAAUACAUUCCGGCUGAAUUAAAUGAGACGUUGUUUAGUCUUGAAGAUUUUCUGUUUGAUAUGAUCUCAUUUGGUUUGCCGCCUAUGUAGAUGCAGGGAAUGAAGAAGGCGUAUGGCGAGGAAGUGAGCGAUGAUUGAAGUAUUGAAAAAUAAUGAGCAGGGAUGCGAUGGACUCGGGAAGAUUUUGAUCUGAUAGUGCUUGUUUAUUUUGG